CCAUACCAUGCUGAAACACCGGUUCUCGUCCGAUCACCGAAGUUAAGCAUCAUCAGGCGGUCAGUACUUGGUAGGGUGACCACCUGGGAACACCGCGUGCCGUUG
rnacentral:rRNA from 1 species